UCAAACUUGGUCAUUUAGAGGAAGUAAAAGUCGUAACAAGGUUUCCGUAGGUGAACCUGCGGAAGGAUCAUUACUGAGUAAUUGGGAUCUUCUUACCUUCCUUUCCAGGAAGGUGAUUGGUCUCUUCUUCUCUUUAACCCUUUAUUAUUAUCUUAUCUAGUUGCUUUGGCAGUGUCGUCUAUCUCUUACAGGAUAGGCCUCUGCCAAAGGACACAUUCAAAUCUCUUUUUGUCAAUAACAGUUGGAUCAACCUUAUCAUGUCUAAGUUUUUACUUUUAAAAUAGUUUUAAAACUUUCAACAAUGGAUCUCUUGGUUCUGGCAUCGAUGAAGAACGCAGC
rnacentral:misc_RNA from 1 species